CGCAGCCUUGUCAAAUUCAGUGCGUCCUCCUCAGUGGAUGCCACUGGCCAAAACGGCUGCCACAGUGAAGGUGUAGUUCAUGGGCCCUACGGUGCUCCAACAUGGCCACUGGGGAUAAAUAUGUAUUACACACAAGU
rnacentral:snoRNA from 1 species